rnacentral:rRNA from 1 species
GCGGUGGAUGAUGUGGAUAAUUCGAUGCAACGCGAAAACCUUACUACCCCUGACAUGUCUGGAACCUUGGUGAGAGCCGAGGGUGCCUUCGGGAGCCAGAACACAGGUGCUGCAUGGCUGUCGUCAGCUCGUGUCGUGAGAUGUUGGGUUAAGUCCCGCAACGAGCGCAACCCUCGUCAUUAGUUGCUACAUUCAGUUGGGCACUCUAAUGAGACUGCCGGUGACAAGCCGGAGGAAGGUGGGGAUGACGUCAAGUCCUCAUGGCCCUUAUAGGUGGGGCUACACACGUCAUACAAUGGCUGGUACAAAGGGUUGCCAACCCGCGAGGGGGAGCCAAUCCCAUAAAGCCAUUCGUAGUCCGGAUCGCAGUCUGCAACUCGACUGCGUGAAGUCGGAAUCGCUAGUAAUCGUGAAUCAGAAUGUCACGGUGAAUACGUUCCCGGGCCUU